rnacentral:rRNA from 1 species
GAACUAAAGAGUUUGAUCCUGGCUCAGAUUGAACGCUGGCGGCAUGCUUUACACAUGCAAGUCGAACGGUAACAGGGACUUCGGUCUGCUGACGAGUGGCGAACGGGUGAGUAAUGCAUCGGAACGUACCGAGUAAUGGGGGAUAACGCAU